UACAGGGGGUGCAAACGUUGCUCGGAAUUAUUGGGCGUAAAGCGCGCGUAGGCGGCUACUUAUGUCGGAUGUGAAAUCCCCAGGCUUAACCUGGGAAUUGCAUCCGAUACUGGAUGGCUUGAAUCCGGGAGAGGGAUGCGGAAUUCCAGGUGUAGCGGUGAAAUGCGUAGAUAUCUGGAGGAACACCGGUGGCGAAGGCGGCAUCCUGGACCGGCAUUGACGCUGAGGAGCGAAAGCCAGGGGAGCAAACGGG
rnacentral:rRNA from 1 species